GUCCACGCCGUAAACGAUGGGUGCUAGGUGUGGGGGUGUCGACUCCCUCCGUGCCGAAGCUAACGCAUUAAGCACCCCGCCUGGGGAGUACGGCCGCAAGGCUAAAACUCAAAGGAAUUGACGGGGGCCCGCACAAGCAGCGGAGCAUGUUGUUUAAUUCGACGCGACGCGAAGAACCUUACCAAGGCUUGACAUGCACGGGAAUGUCGUGGAAACACGGCAGCCCUUCGGGGCUCGUGCACAGGUGGUGCAUGGCUGUCGU
rnacentral:rRNA from 1 species